GGGGAAAAGAUUACAUUUGGCAUUUCUGUCAGCAUUACCCAUGAUCCUCAGCUUCCGGAGCCAGGCCGCGGCCGCGGGUGAAUUCUUCUUCUCAUCGCGCUCAAACCGCUGCACAGCUUGAGAAACUCCAUGCCAUUGGAUACAAGCCAGUUCUACUUCUUGGCAAGGAGACCAAAAAGAGAGAAAACAACUGUGAAAUAUUAACCCCUCGCUGCACACUCUCCACCUAUGCCCAGGACUACCUUCAGAAGAUAGGUUCAUUUUAUGAAUACCUUUUGUGAAGGUUGGAACCAGGAUUCCAGUGGCAAUGAUGACAACUUGCGGAGGGACCAAGGCAUAUGCCUAAGAGGAAAAAAGCCACAAAAGAGGCAAAGCAGAAUUAUUGGUUGACUGGGAGCCCUGUCCAAUAUGUGGCAAGGAUUGGGCCCAUUCCUGGCAGCCAAAGGAUUCUCUUCAAAUUAAUGAGAAGAAAUAAAAUGUAGAAUUUGAACUACAUUUUGGUUUCUGCCUGUUUAUUACAUUGUUUCUGCGCUGCUUUUGAAGUCAUGUCUCAUCUUUCUGUAGUGGUGAAAAGGUGAAAAUCCCCAAUAAAUGUGACACAUGGAGUUUAGUCUCAAGUAGAAAUUUACUUAAUCCAACUCAAUUUCCUUUUCAGAUGUUAUUUGGAAACAUGUUUUAUAUUUCAUGAUUAUACAUUGCACUAUGUUAUUUUAUUACAGUUGACAUAUAACUUGAUUUCAUGUUCUGUUGUCUGUGCUUUUCAAGUUAACUUAACCUCACAGACCACUGUUAAGACGCAAAAUCUGUUUAAAGCUGUUCCUCUCUCUGCUGCUGACAGUUGUCAUUUCAGACAAAUUGAUCCGACAAAAAUCUUCAGAUCUUCCACCCUAUUCACCUCCAGUCCUCAUCAUAUUCAGCUCACAGGAGUCCUUCCACUGUGCUCAUCAGGAGCUGAGCUCCACAUUCAUCCAGAUCUCAGCAUUGCUAUUUGCUCCUUCACCACCACCAGUGUCUAGACUCCAUGGGGGGAUAUUCCAUUUCAUAUCAUGCAUCUCUCUUCUACUUUUCAAAUAGUGACAUCUCCAUGUGGUCUAAUUGCCAAAGACUAAAUAGUUUCAACUUAUGCACCUUGUCAAAUUUGUUUGAUCGCUCUUUAAGCCUGCAGUCAAUAAUUAAGCAAUAAAAAAGCAUUUGGUGUUUUUUCACUUGUAUUUUUG